UGAGGAAUAUUGGUCAAUGGGCGGAAGCCUGAACCAGCCAAGUCGCGUGAGGGAAUAAGGCCCUACGGGUCGUAAACCUCUUUUGCCGGGGAGCAAGGGCCGGGACGAGUCCCGGUCCGGAGAGUACCCGGAGAAAAAGCAUCGGCUAACUCCGUGCCAGCAGCCGCGGUAAUACGGAGGAUGCGAGCGUUAUCCGGAUUUAUUGGGUUUAAAGGGUGCGUAGGCGGGCUUUUAAGUCAGCGGUAAAAAUUCGGGGCUCAACCCCGUCCGGCCGUUGAAACUGGGGGCCUUGAGUGGGCGAGA
rnacentral:rRNA from 1 species